AUGUGUAUUUUAGGGUUAAUUGAUUUUACUGUGGUAUUGUUAUGUAUUGAUGAUGUGACUAUAACAACAAAACUAAACAUCCCAGAAAUACGAAAUUUGGCAACACAAUGCAAAAGGCUUGCCUCCAGGUUACAACAACACAACCACACCACAAAACCACAAUCCAGACCCACAACACUCACAACAACGCAUCAUGCGAUAACAACACAACUAAACGCCCCAGAAAUACGAAACUUGCCAACACAACACAAAAGCAUUCCCUCCCGAUUGUAACAACACAACCACACCACAAAACCACAAUCCGGAUCCACAAAACUCACAACAGUGCAUCGUGACUAUAACAAUACAACUAAACGCCCCAGAAAUACAAAACUUGCCACACAACUAAACGCCCCAGAAAUACAAAACUUGGCAACACAACACAAAAGCCUUGCCUCUCAGUUGUAACAACACAACCACACCACAAAACCAUAAUCCGGACCCACAAAACUCACAACAACGCAUUGUGACUAACAAAUACAAAAUUUGACAACACAACUCAUCCACCUCCCCAAUCCCUACAUUCACACUUGGCCUCCAAAAAAACAAUUGCAAUAAUAACAAUGACAACAACAACAACAAUAAGAAUCAACACCAUCUCAGGCAAGAAACAGCCAGGCACUGAGGCUGAGAGGCCAGUCAGUGCUACACUGGGCCUCCAAAAAAAAUACAGUAACAUCUAACUUAUCCAACCUUCAUGACCACUACAACAACAACAAUAAUAAACACCUACACAGGCAAAACCAAAAAAAAAUUAUUGUACCACAAUAAAAAUGUAAACCGCACUCAGCAGAAUCAGACAUUACAACUAACAACAAACCAAAGACAACAGGGAUCUCAAGCAAUUAUCAAUCAACACAAAAAUUGAAGAAGGUAACAGACUUCAAAUACUACUACUAAUGUGAGUAUAAAGAAGGUGGAGGUCACAGCAUAAAUACAACCUAAUGUAGACUGACCAGCACCACCAGACUAAGCCACAGCAACGCGUGGCCGGGCACAGCUAGUUUCUUUAUAUUUUUCAUUGUAUUGGUUUUUAUUACUGUAAAUGGCCAGGAGCCCAAUUUUGGGGGAAAGAUAGGACAACAAGGACAUCACCAACAGUUUCAGCUGGUACUACUGUAGCACACUCUACACUGAGCUACCUUUGGAACUACAAUGGGUCCAGUAUUUAUUUAUUUAUUUAUUUAUUUACAGUAUUUAUAUUCCGUCCUUCUCACCCUGAAGGGGACUCAGGGCGGAUCACAUUGUACACAUAUAAGGCAAACAUUCAAUGCUAUAUAACAUAGAACAGAGACAGAGACAGACACAGAGGUAAUUUAAACCUCCAGCUUCCAGCUCCCUGAGGGUAUGCUUGAUUCCGGCCACAGGGGGAGCAGCUGCUUCAUCAUCCACUGCGACGGCAACUUCCUCAUUGCAACGACGGCUAGAUGACUUUUAUGGUGUUGUAAAUUAGCCUCCCCACAUAUAAGUGGUACCUAAAUUUCCUACUUGAUAGAUGCAACUAUCUUUUGCGUUGCUUAGGUCAGCACCGAGCAGGGGCUAUAUUUUAUUUUUAAUUGUCGGGUGCUCACCCUGACAC
ensembl:lncRNA